rnacentral:misc_RNA from 1 species
CCGAGUGAGGGUCCUCGCGGCCCGACCUCCAACCCUUUGUGAACCAAACCUCGUUGCUUCGGGGGCGACCCUGCCGUCCGCGGCGAGCGCCCCCGGAGGACCUCCAACCCUGCAUCACUGGCGUCGGAGUUUUAUACAAAUAAAACA